rnacentral:sRNA from 1 species
AGCUCGACCGGAUCGACCGCGCGCGUGACCACGAGGUAGUCGCGCAACGCGGUGCUGUGCCUGUUCUC